AGAAUCAACGCUGGCGGCGUGCCUAACACAUGCAAGUCGAACGCGAAAGGGGCGCAAGCCCUGAGUAGAGUGGCAAACGGGUGAGUAACACGUGGGUGACCUGCCUUCGAGUGGGGGAUAACGUUCCGAAAGGAACGCUAAUACCGCAUGACAUCCUGCGUUUGGAGACGCGGACAUCAAAGCUGGGGAUCGCAAGACCUGGCGCUCGGCGAGGGGCCCGCGGCUGAUUAGCUAGUUGGUGGGGUAAUGGCUCACCAAGGCGACGAUCAGUAUCCGGCCUGAGAGGGCGGACGGACACGACUGGGAACUGAGACACGGCCCAGACUCCUACGGGAGGCAGCAGUGGGGAAUUGUCGCAAUGGGGCGCAAGCCUAGACGACGCAACGCCGCGGUGGAGGACGAAGAUCGUUCGGGUACGUAAACUCCUUGCCGAGCGGGAAGAAGUGGGUGGACGGUGAAACUACCCGUGUCCGCCGGUAGACCGGUACCGACUAAAGGAACGCCCCGGAUAACCGUCCGUAGCCCAGC
rnacentral:rRNA from 1 species